rnacentral:rRNA from 1 species
GACGAACGCUGGCGGCGUGCUUAACACAUGCAAGUCGAACGGAAAGGCCCUGCUUUUGUGGGGUGCUCGAGUGGCGAACGGGUGAGUAACACGUGAGUAACCUGCCCCUGACUUUGGGAUAACUUCAGGAAACUGGGGCUAAUACCGGAUAGGAGCUCCUGCUGCAUGGUGGGGGUUGGAAAGUUUCGGUGGUUGGGGAUGGACUCGCGGCUUAUCAGCUUGUUGGUGGGGUAGUGGCUUACCAAGGCUUUGACGGGUAGCCGGCCUGAGAGGGUGACCGGCCACAUUGGGACUGAGAUACGGCCCAGACUCCUACGGGAGGCAGCAGUGGGGAAUAUUGCACAAUGGGCGGAAGCCUGAUGCAGCAACGCCGCGUGCGGGAUGACGGCCUUCGGGUUGUAAACCGCUUUCGCCUGUGACGAAGCGUGAGUGACGGUAAUGGGUAAAGAAGCACCGGCUAACUACGUG